rnacentral:rRNA from 1 species
UACGUAGGGUGCAAGCGUUGUCCGGAAUUAUUGGGCGUAAAGAGCUCGUAGGCGGUUUGUCGCGUCUGCUGUGAAAACUCGGGGCUUAACUCCGGGCUUGCAGUGGGUACGGGCAGACUAGAGUGCGGUAGGGGAGACUGGAAUUCCUGGUGUAGCGGCGAAAUGCGCAGAUAUCAGGAGGAACCCCGGUGGCGAAGGCGGGUCUCUGGGCCGUAACUGACGCUGAGGAGCGAAAGCGUGGGGAGCGAACAGG